rnacentral:lncRNA from 1 species
GAUUUCUAUUUAAAACCUUUUAGGAUUAGAACUUCUAUCUAUAGUAGAAGUACUCAAAAAUAUCAAAUCAAAAGAAAAGAUUUACCUACCAUAUUAACAUCUCUUCUUAGAACAUCUGAACACCGUAAAUCAUAUAAGGUAACUGAAAAUAGAAAAAAGGAAAAUAUUAAGAAAAAAUUAAAUAAACACUGUCAAAAUGUUACGGAAAACAAAACAUCAAAAAAAAGCAGUACUUUACUAGAGUAUCAUAGAUUUGACAUUAUUUACACAUUACGAAAUUGGAAAACUAGAAAGAGAUUAUCAUUUUUUCACUGUCAAAAUCAUACAUUUGUUCUAGUUUGUAAUCAGCAAAACAUGUAUUAUUUUGUAAUUUCAGUUAUUAUAGUUUUGUAUACAUUGUGUUUUAUAUAUUUCAUAUAUAUAGUAAUUGUGUAUGAGUAUGUUUUAUAUGCUGUUUCAAAAUUAACAUCUAAAUAUCGGUCAAAACACAAUCGUGAAACAGACUAUAACAAUAUUGUUAUAAUCCAAUUACAAAAAAGAAAAUUGGUUAACAUAAUUAUUUUCACAGGUAACUCCCACGUUAAAAAAAAUACGAUCAAAACUAGGAGAAAUAAAGUUUACCUUAAAAAUGCCACUAAAACGUGAUGUACGCUCACUAAGUAAAGGUAUUAAACAAAUCGAACAACUUUUAAUCAAAAUAUGCUAAAUAACCUACACAUUUGUACAGCAAAUGUUAAAGGACUUCGAGAUAAACAAAAGAGAUUGAGAUUUUAUCAAUGGAUAAAAAAUCAGAAAUGUAAAAUAACUUUUAUUCAAGAAACUCAUUUCAAUACAUCCCUAGAAAAUGCUCUAACAAUAGAAUCAGAUCAUUCUUGUUACUAUAGUCACGGAACGACUUCCAGCAGAGGAGUUGCAAUAUUAAUUAAUAACAAACUAGACUAUAAAUUAAUAGACGAGCAUAAAGAUUUAGAAGGUCGAAUAAUUAUGAUAAAUAUUGAAUUUGAAAAUAUAAUAUAUUCUCUUAUAAACAUAUAUGCCCCAAAUAUAGAAUCUGAACGAAAUAGCUUCUAUAAAAAAUUAAAUGACUUUUUAAACAAAAACGCAAUAGGUACAAUAAUUUUAGGAGGAGACAUGAACGAUGCCCUUAAAAAUGAAGAUAGGAAAAGCUCAAAUAUUCGUAAAAAAGUAAGUAAACCAGUAAAUAGCCUAAAAAAUUUAAUUAAAUCAAAUGAUCUCAUAGAUAUAUGGAGAUACGUUAACCCUCAAAAGAUCCAAUAUACAUGGAGACGUAAAAAUCCAGUCCAGUCUAGUAGAAUUGACAUGUUCCUUGUUAAAAAAGACUUUGUGUUAAACGUAAAGUCAUGUGAUAUUAGGCCUAUUCUUAUUAAAAGUACUGAUCACCAAGCAGUAUCAAUACAAUUACAAUCUGUAUCAUCUGAAACAAGAGGCCCGGGAUACUGGAAAAUUAACAACGGUAUUC